GGGGAUAUGGCGAAAUGGGUAGACGCUGCGGACUUAAAAUCCGUUGACUUUUAAAAUCGUGAGGGUUCAAGUCCCUCUAUCCCCA
rnacentral:tRNA from 2 species